rnacentral:sRNA from 1 species
UAUAAAGUUUUGCACACUCAAAUUUAAGCUAUUUGUUAUGGCAGGCCCAGAACAUACAAAAAUUUGUAGCUACUCACCAUCUGCUGCCACUUGAACGCCAAUCACUGCGCCCAAAUGGCCAGCAAGUGUGUGCACUUCCUCGCCGACGGUGACACAGGUGACAGCAUCACUAUGACCGACAAGUACCUGGCUCAGUUUGCCGCCCAUCGAU